rnacentral:misc_RNA from 1 species
CAAAUUCUUGAAGUAAUUGCUGUCCCAAGAAUUGGGUGUGACCAGAUCAAGUGGAGCCAAAUUUCCGUCACCACCAACAGCAGGACAACUACGUCGGCGAGUGGUAGCAAAUCCAGCAUCAAUGUCACUGCCACUGCUAUAUAUCCUAUCGCGAAAUGUUGCACAUUGAGCUUGUCCUAGAGUGUGAGAACCUGACAAAGCAACCAAGUCCCUAGCACUGAGUCCUAUUUUCUGAAAGCGAGAUAUAAGUUUGUCCAGACCAUCCUUAAAACUAGGAAGUUCCUUGUUGG